rnacentral:rRNA from 1 species
GACGAACGCUGGCGGCGUGCCUAAUACAUGCAAGUAGAACGCUGAAGGAGGAGCUUGCUUCUCUGGAUGAGUUGCGAACGGGUGAGUAACGCGUAGGUAACCUGCCUGGUAGCGGGGGAUAACUAUUGGAAACGAUAGCUAAUACCGCAUGAAAUGGAUUAUCGCAUGAUAAUCGAUUGAAAGGUGCAAAUGCAUCACUACCAGAUGGACCUGCGUUGUAUUAGCUAGUUGGUGGGGUAACGGCUCACCAAGGCGACGAUACAUAGCCGACCUGAGAGGGUGAUCGGCCACACUGGGACUGAGACACGGCCCAGACUCCUACGGGAGGCAGCAGUAGGGAAUCUUCGGCAAUGGACGGAAGUCUGACCGAGCAACGCCGCGUGAGUGAAGAAGGUUUUCGGAUCGUAAAGCUCUGUUGUAAGAGAAGAACGAG